ensembl:lncRNA
UGAUAUCUAUAUCUGUGCAUGUGUGCGUAAGACGGUUGCGUUUCUGCUGUCCAACUGGACUGUGGGGUUGGGUUUAGGCUUUGGGGUUUCAGCAGGUGCCCGCUGGGGUCACGCCGCGUGUCUGGAGACGGCGAACGUGCAUUUAUUGGGAUCAAAUGUGUAAAUAUUGUCGCGUGUGGUGCGUCGGGCUGCUGUAUGUUGAGUGUGAAUGGAACAGCCAGGUGACGCUAAUGUGUGUAGGUGUGAGAGAGAAGGAUGCGCGCGCGCGUGUGUGUGUGUGAGGGAGAGAGGGAGAGAGAGAGAGGGAGAGAGAGAGAGAGAGAGAGAGAGAGAGAGGGAGAGAGACAGGAGGGCGGAGAACAGUGGGAUUUGGGGCUCGGACCGCCUCGCCGCUGUACGCGCACAGGGCGGCCUGUGGUAGAAACAGACAGAAACGAACCGGGCCUCCGGAGCGGACACCGCGCUCCCCCCGCACACCAGUGGGAUAAGAGGUCUGGAACAUCUUUGACCAAAACCUGUCAAAUGGAAACUUGCGUGGGCCAAGAGACUCUCUGGAAUCACAGAAUGAGGAAGAAGGAGGAGAAAUGAAGGAGGGGAUGGAAAGAUGAACCCAGAGCAAAGUAGCCCAGCUGUUCAUCAUGGCCAAAGGCACUUUCCUCCUCUCCGUCUCUCCAUUGCGGGGCUCUACGUAUGAGAUCUAAGGCAAGAACACGAGUUGCGUGUGUGGGCAGCAGCAAUGGGCCUGGAUCCCCUUGGUUCUCUGCACCUCUGGAGCAAAGUAGCAGCAGAAAUCAAUACGGAGAGGAGAGGCUUGUCUUGCUACACCCAAACUCGCCUCCAGCACUCAAACCCAAGACCUCCUGAGCUCCACACACAAGAGCUGUGUCUUGCUCCUUAGCCAAUUUCUGAGAGUGUAAGACGCUGCCAGAGGGCUUUUUUUAAAAAAAAAAAACCUACACCAACUUUGCGGCAAUUAUUUUUUUUUAAAUGUACAAGGUCCUUCAUUUUUUCCCUGUGCUGACAUCCCUCUGAGUGCUUUGAAAGACUCCUCAUCAGACAGAUCAACGUCCUCCUCCAAGCGUCACAUUAGCAUUCAAAGCCUGGAAAAAUGUGUUUAUGCUAGCGAGAAAGUGAUAGAAGCAGUCAGGGAGGGAGAGAGAGAUUUUCUCCCCUUUUUUGCCUGUGGACACUAGAAAUAAACUGUAAAAUACAUCUACUCCAACCUUACGGAACUGAGGUCCAUUUCAGUGCCCAGCGUGACAGGCCAUCUCCUUUCACUGAGCUGAUUUGUCAGGCUGGGCCAUACCUGCCAAUCAGCGGUGAAAAAAGACACACAUCCGAAAAAAGGUGUCAACAAACAUGAAGGGCACGGAAGGAGCAGAUGGGCAGAGGGGUAUGGAGCCCGGAGGAAAAACCCUCAGCACCUACCAAGAUGACGUGGAGCUGGAGGUGGCUGGAUGGCCUGGGGAGGAGGUCCUGGAAGGCUGCAGAAAGAGACUCAAGAGACACAAGGCCAAGUCACAUGAUGAAGUCUCCACAAACUGUAUAAACACCAGCAAAAGAGUCAAUGGGAAAUCCAUCAUUACUGAAGGAUUGUGCGUCAUUACUAUAAUGUAUGGAUUCUGUAACGAGUAACCAGUAAAAAUGAAAAAGACAUAUACUGGGUGCAUUAAACUUCAUGUAAUAUCACUUGUAAAAUAGCCAGAAUUUCUGAUGUAUGUGUGGAAGGUAUAGUACACAUUCAAAUAAUAGUAAUAUACACAUAUGAGCCAGACUUAAAUAUAUGGAAAAUAUUAUAUUGAUCUUGGUGACUUCUCCAAGACACAUUUUGUCCUGUUCAGCUAUACAAUCACUUUAAAGCACUGCACUUUAAUGUUAUAUUCAAUGCAUAAAUUGUUUUGUCAUCUUACUGUUUUAAUGUUAUGCACAUUUUUUUAAAUAAAUAAAUAAAACAAU